rnacentral:tRNA from 1 species
AAGAUUCAUAUAUAAAUAUAAUUAUUUUUCUAGAA